rnacentral:rRNA from 1 species
AUUGAACGCUGGCGGCAGGCCUAACACAUGCAAGUCGAGCGAGCGGCGGACGGGUGAGUAAUUUCUGGGAAACUGCCUGAUGGAGGGGGAUAACUACUGGAAACGGUAGCUAAUACCGCAUACCAUCAGAUGUGACCAGAUGGGGGUUGCUAGUAGGUGGGGUAAUGGCUCACCUAGGCGACGAUCCCUAGCUGUGGUGAGAGGAUGACAAGCCCCACGGGAAUUGAAACACGGUACGGACCAAUACGGUACGCAGCAGAGGGGAGUAGAGCACAAUGGGCGCAAGCCUAGUGCAGACAUGCCGCGUAUGGGGAGAAGUGAUUGGGGUUGUAAAGGAAUAUCAGCUGGGAGGCGUUACCCGAAGAAGAAGCACCGGCUAACUCCGUGCCAGCAGCCGCGGUAAUAC